rnacentral:rRNA from 1 species
GACGAACGCUGGCGGCGUGCCUAAUACAUGCAAGUAGAACGCUGAAGGAGGAGCUUGCUUCUCUGGAUGAGUUGCGAACGGGUGAGUAACGCGUAGGUAACCUGCCUGGUAGCGGGGGAUAACUAUUGGAAACGAUAGCUAAUACCGCAUAAUAGCAGUUAUUGCAUGAUAACUGUUUGAAAGGUGCAAUUGCACCACUACCAGAUGGACCUGCGUUGUAUUAGCUAGUUGGUGGGGUAACGGCUCACCAAGGCGACGAUACAUAGCCGACCUGAGAGGGUGAUCGGCCACACUGGGACUGAGACACGGCCCAGACUCCUACGGGAGGCAGCAGUAGGGAAUCUUCGGCAAUGGACGGAAGUCUGACCGAGCAACGCCGCGUGAGUGAAGAAGGUUUUCGGAUCGUAAAGCUCUGUUGUAAGAGAAGAACGAGUGUGAGAGUGGAAAGUUCACACUGUGACGGUAUCUUACCAGAAAGGGACGGCUAACUACGUGCCAGCAGCCGCGGUAAUACGUAGGUCCCGAGCGUUGUCCGGAUUUAUUGGGCGUAAAGCGAGCGCAGGCGGUUAGAUAAGUCUGAAGUUAAAGGCUGUGGCUUAACCAUAGUACGCUUUGGAAACUGUUUAACUUGAGUGCAAGAGGGGAGAGUGGAAUUCCAUGUGUAGCGGUGAAAUGCGUAGAUAUAUGGAGGAACACCGGUGGCGAAAGCGGCUCUCUGGCUUGUAACUGACGCUGAGGCUCGAAAGCGUGGGGGAGCAAACAGG